UUUUUUUUGUGGUACUAAAAAUAGUCUCUAGUGAACAAUAGCCUUUAAAAUGACUUAAAAUACAUACAAAACGCUACAGCCACUGUAAUGUCUUGAACAAGAACAUCAAACUCAGAGUGAGGGUUAAAACUUUUAUUUUGAAAUUGUGAUGAACAACAAAUGAACA